AUCAGAUUAAAAACCACUUAAGAGAAAAAGAGCUCAAAUAUAAUAUUUCCCUGCAUCUUUUCUCAGAAAGCAAAGAGUAGAUGUGCUCCACCAAAAUGAAGGAAUAAACUAAGAACUCUGAGGAUGGCAUGGGAUCCAACACAGGAAAGAGUGCCCACACACGACCCUUGUACCUUCUGGUUGGAUUGGCAAUGCAGGCUGAGCUGGUUGUUCUUCAGAAAUAAGCAUUACUGGGCCAAGGUUAAUUAUCCGUCUACUGUGAAAAGAGAAAGGAAACAACUUCACUAUCCCACAAAUGGACUGAGAGCAAAACCUGCAACAUAUGGCCAAAAAUAUGAAAUGUGCUAUACUUGUUUCAUAAAUUAAGUGAAUUAAAUGUCAAGCUGGAGGCAAAACUA
rnacentral:lncRNA from 10 species